rnacentral:rRNA from 1 species
AAAGGAAUAGACGGGGGCCCGCACAAGCGGAGGAACAUGUGGUUUAAUUCGAUGAUACGCGAGGAACCUUACCCGGGCUUGAAUUGCAACUGAAUGAUGUGGAGACAUGUCAGCCGCAAGGCAGUUGUGAAGGUGCUGCAUGGUUGUCGUCAGCUCGUGCCGUGAGGUGUCGGCUUAAGUGCCAUAACGAGCGCAACCCUUAUCGAUAGUUACCAUCAGGUGAUGCUGGGGACUCUGUCGAGACUGCCGUCGUAAGAUGUGAGGAAGGUGGGGAUGACGUCAAAUCAGCACGGCCCUUACGUCCGGGGCUACACACGUGUUACAAUGGGGGGUACAGAAGGCAGCUACACGGCGACGUGAUGCUAAUCCCUAAAGCCUCUCUCAGUUCGGAUUGGAGUCUGCAACCCGACUCCAUGAAGCUGGAUUCGCUAGUAAUCGCGCAUCAGCCACGGCGCGGUGAAUACGUUCCCGGGCCUUGUACACACCGCCCGU